rnacentral:rRNA from 1 species
AUGCCCCUACGGGGCGCAGCAGUGGGGAAUAUUGCACAAUGGGGGGAACCCUGAUGCAGCGACGCCGCGUGGGCGAUGGAGUAUUUCGGUAUGUAAAGCCCUAUCGGCAGGGAAGAAGCUGACAGUACCUGACUAAGAAGCCCCGGCUAACUACGUGCCAGCAGCCGCGGUAAUACGUAGGGGGCAAGCGUUAUCCGGAUUUACUGGGUGUAAAGGGAGCGUAGACGGCAGCGCAAGUCUGGAGUGAAAUGCCGGGGCUCAACCCCGG